CCCUUAGAUGUUCUGGGCCGCACGCGUGCUACACUGAGUGGAUCAGCGGGUCAGGUUGCGCGAAAGCGUUUCCUAAUCUUUAAAUCCGCUCGUGAUGGGGAUUGACCGUUGCAAUUUUCUGUCAUGAACGAGGAAUACCUUGUAAGCGCGGGUCAUCAUCCCGCGCUGAAUACGUCCCUGCCCUUUGUACACACCGCCCGUCGCUCCUACCGAUUGAGUGGUCCGGUGAGGCUUUGGGAUCUGAGCGGAAAGAGCGUUUCGCUGUUUCUGCUCGGAAAACUCAGUCGAACCUUAUCAUUUAGAGGAAGGAGAAGUCGUAACA
rnacentral:rRNA from 1 species